rnacentral:rRNA from 1 species
GAUCCUGGCUCAGGAUGAACGCUAGCGGCAGGCCUAACACAUGCAAGUCGAGGGGCAUCACAGGUAGCAAUACCGGGUGGCGACCGGCGCACGGGUGCGUAACGCGUAUGCAACCUACCGAUAACAGGGGGAUAACACUGAGAAAUUGGUACUAAUACCCCAUAACAUCAGAACCGGCAUCGGUUUUGGUUGAAAACUCCGGUGGUUAUGGAUGGGCAUGCGUUGUAUUAGCUGGUUGGUGAGGUAACGG